rnacentral:tRNA from 1 species
GGGUAUGUAGCAAAACGGUUAUGCAGCGGGCUUUUAACCCGUCAGAUGCAGGUUCAAGUCCUGUCAUGCCCA